rnacentral:rRNA from 1 species
AGUGAACGCUGGCGGUAGGCCUAACACAUGCCAGUCGAACGGCAGCACAGUAAGAGCUUGCUCUUACGGGUGGCGAGUGGCGGACGGGUGAGGAAUACAUCGGAAUCUACUUUUUCGUGGGGGAUAACGUAGGGAAACUUACGCUAAUACCGCAUACGACCUACGGGUGAAAGCAGGGGAUCUUCGGACCUUGCGCGAUUGAAUGAGCCGAUGUCGGAUUAGCUAGUUGGCGGGGUAAAGGCCCACCAAGGCGACGAUCCGUAGCUGGUCUGAGAGGAUGAUCAGCCACACUGGAACUGAGACACGGUCCAGACUCCUACGGGAGGCAGCAGUGGGGAAUAUUGGACAAUUGGCGCAAGCCUGAUCCAGCCAUACCGCGUGGGUGAAGAAGGCCUUCGGGUUGUAAAGCCCUUUUGUUGGGAAAGAAAAGCAGCAGGUUAAUACCCCGCUGUUCUGACGGUACCCAAAGAAUAAGCACCGGCUAACUUCGUG